UGGGGAAUAUUGGACAAUGGGCGAAAGCCUGAUCCAGCCAUGCCGCGUGUGUGAAGAAGGUCUUCGGAUUGUAAAGCACUUUAAGUUGGGAGGAAGGGCAGUAAGCUAAUACCUUGCUGUUUUGACGUUACCGACAGAAUAAGCACCGGCUAACUCUGUGCCAGCAGCCGCGGUAAUACAGAGGGUGCAAGCGUUAAUCGGAAUUACUGGGCGUAAAGCGCGCGUAGGUGGUUCGUUAAGUUGGAUGUGAAAUCCCCGGGCUCAACCUGGGAACUGCAUCCAAAACUGGCGAGCUAGAGUAUGGUAGAGGGUGGUGGAAUUUCCUGUGUAGCGGUGAAAUGCGUAGAUAUAGGAAGGAAAACCAGUGGCGAAGGCGACCACCUGGACUGAUACUGACACUGAGGUGCGAAAGCGUGGGGGGCAAACAGG
rnacentral:rRNA from 1 species